rnacentral:rRNA from 1 species
CAUUUAAAGAGUGCGUAAUAGCUCACUAGUCGAGUGACACUGCGCCGAAAAUGUACCGGGGCUAAACAUAUUACCGAAGCUGUGGAUUGUCCUUUGGACAAUGGUAGGAGAGCGUUCUAAGGGCGUUAAAGCAUGAUCGUAAGAACAUGUGGAGCGCUUAGAAGUGAGAAUGCCGGUGUGAGUAGCGAAAGACGGGUGAGAAUCCCGUCCACCGAUUGACUAAGGUUUCCAGAGGAAGGCUCGUCCGCUCUGGGU